rnacentral:rRNA from 1 species
UACGGAGGGGGCUAGCGUUGUUCGGAAUUACUGGGCGUAAAGCGUACGUAGGCGGCUUUGUAAGUUAGAGGUGAAAGCCCGGGGCUUAACCCCGGAAUUGCCUUUAAGACUGCAUCGCUUGAACCAUGGAGAGGUGAGUGGAAUUCCGAGUGUAGAGGUGAAAUUCGUAGAUAUUCGGAAGAACACCAGUGGCGAAGGCGACUCACUGGACAUGUAUUGACGCUGAGGUACGAAAGCGUGGGGAGCAAACAGG